rnacentral:tRNA from 1 species
GGGAAUGUAGCUCAAUGGUUAGAGCGAUGGACUUUUAAUCCAUCGGUUGCGGGUUCGAAUCUCGUCAUUCUCA